AUUGAACGCUGGCGGAAUGCUUUACACAUGCAAGUCGAACGGCAGCACGGGGCGAACCUGGUGGCGAGUGGCGAACGGGUGAGUAAUACAUCGGAACGUGCCCAAUCGUGGGGGAUAACGUAGCGAAAGUUACGCUAAUACCGCAUACGAUCUACGGAUGAAAGCGGGGGAUCGCAAGACCUCGCGCGAAUGGAGCGGCCGAUGUCAGAUUAGGUAGUUGGUGGGGUAAAGGCUCACCAAGCCGACGAUCUGUAGCUGGUCUGAGAGGACGACCAGCCACACUGGGACUGAGACACGGCCCAGACUCCUACGGAGGCAGCAGUGGGGAAUUUUGGACAAUGGGCGCAAGCCUGAUCCAGCCAUUCCGCGUGCAGGAUGAAGGCCUUCGGGUUGUAAACUGCUUUGUACGGUAACGAAACGGUUCUCUCUAA
rnacentral:rRNA from 1 species